GUGUUUGCUUCAGUAGCACAGAUACUAAAAUUAGCACAAUGCAGAGAUUAAUAUGACCCUAUGCAAGGAUGAAGUGCAAAUUCAUGAAGCAUCCCAUACUUUU
ensembl:snRNA U6 U6 spliceosomal RNA